UCCCUCGUGACUCAGAUGGUAAAGCAUCUGCCUAUAAUGCAGGAGACCUGGGUUCAAUCCCUGCGUCGGGA
rnacentral:tRNA from 1 species